rnacentral:rRNA from 1 species
GACAGAGGAUGCAAGCGUUAUCCGGAAUGAUUGGGCGUAAAGCGUCUGUAGGUGGCUUUUUAAGUCCGCCGUCAAAUCCCAGGGCUCAACCCUGGACAGGCGGUGGAAACUACCAAGCUGGAGUACGGUAGGGGCAGAGGGAAUUUCCGGUGGAGCGGUGAAAUGCGUAGAGAUGCGGAGGAACACCGAUGGCGAAGGCAGCCCCCUGGGCUGCACUGACGCUCAGGCACGAAAGCGUGGGGAGCAAACAGG